rnacentral:rRNA from 1 species
GAUGAACGCUAGCGGCAGGCUUAAUACAUGCAAGUUGAGGGGCAGCAUGAUAUACGCGAGUAUAUUGAUGGCGACCGGCGGACGGGUGAGUAAUAGGUAGGAGACCUACCUCAUACAGGGGGAUAGCAUAGAGAAAUCUGUGGUAAUACCCCAUGAGGUUAUAUGAAUAGAGGCAUAUAAUCAAAGCAUAAGCGAUUAUGCGGUAUGAGAGGGGCCUACUGACCAUUAGCUAGUUGGUGAGGUAAGGGCUCACCAAGGCGAAGAUGGUUAGGGGUUUUGAGAGAGAGACCCCCCACAUUGGAACUGAGAGACGGUCCAGACUCCUACGGGAGGCAGCAGUAGGGAAUAUUGGGCAAUGGGCGAAAGCCUGACCCAGCCAUGCCGCGUGCAGGAUGAAGGCCUUCGGUGUAACUGCUUUGUACGAACGAACGGUUCUCUCUAAUACAGGGGCGUAAUGACGGUACCGUAAGAAUAAGCACCGGACUACGU